rnacentral:rRNA from 1 species
AUGAACGCUAGCUACAGGCUUAACACAUGCAAGUCGAGGGGCAGCAUGGUCUUAGCUUGCUAAGGCCGAUGGCGACCGGCGCACGGGUGAGUAACACGUAUCCAACCUGCCGUCUACUCUUGGACAGCCUUCUGAAAGGAAGAUUAAUACAAGAUGGCAUCAUGAGUCCGCAUGUUCACAUGAUUAAAGGUAUUCCGGUAGACGAUGGGGAUGCGUUCCAUUAGAUAGUAGGCGGGGUAACGGCCCACCUAGUCUUCGAUGGAUAGGGGUUCUGAGAGGAAGGUCCCCCACAUUGGAACUGAGACACGGUCCAAACUCCUACGGGAGGCAGCAGUGAGGAAUAUUGGUCAAUGGGCGAGAGCCUGAACCAGCCAAGUAGCGUGAAGGAUGACUGCCCUAUGGGUUGUAAACUUCUUUUAUAAAGGAAUAAAGUCGGGUAUGCAUACCCGUUUGCAUGUACUUUAUGAAUAAGGAUCGGCUAACUCCGUGCCAGCAGCCGCGGUAAUACGGAGGAUCCGAGCGUUAUCCGGAUUUAUUGGGUUUAAAGGGAGCGUAGAUGGAUGUUUAAGUCAGUUGUGAAAGUUUGCGGCUCAACCGUAAAAUUGCAGUUGAUACUGGAUAUCUUGAGUGCAGUUGAGGCAGGCGGAAUUCGUGGUGUAGCGGUGAAAUGCUUAGAUAUCACGAAGAACUCCGAUUGCGAAGGCAGCCUGCUAAGCUGCAACUGACAUUGAGGCUCGAAAGUGUGGGUAUCAAACAGGAUUAGAUACCCUGGUAGUCCACACGGUAAACGAUGAAUACUCGCUGUUUGCGAUAUACGGCAAGCGGCCAAGCGAAAGCGUUAAGUAUUCCACCUGGGGAGUACGCCGGCAACGGUGAAACUCAAAGGAAUUGACGGGGGCCCGCACAAGCGGAGGAACAUGUGGUUUAAUUCGAUGAUACGCGAGGAACCUUACCCGGGCUUAAAUUGCAGAUGAAUUACGGUGAAAGCCGUAAGCCGCAAGGCAUCUGUGAAGGUGCUGCAUGGUUGUCGUCAGCUCGUGCCGUGAGGUGUCGGCUUAAGUGCCAUAACGAGCGCAACCCUUGUUGUCAGUUACUAACAGGUUCUGCUGAGGACUCUGACAAGACUGCCAUCGUAAGAUGUGAGGAAGGUGGGGAUGACGUCAAAUCAGCACGGCCCUUACGUCCGGGGCUACACACGUGUUACAAUGGGGGGUACAGAGGGCCGCUACCACGCGAGUGGAUGCCAAUCCCAAAAACCUCUCUCAGUUCGGACUGGAGUCUGCAACCCGACUCCACGAAGCUGGAUUCGCUAGUAAUCGCGCAUCAGCCACGGCGCGGUGAAUACGUUCCCGGGCCUUGUACACACCGCCCGUCACACCAUGAGAGUCGGGAAUACCCGAAGCCUGUGAGCCAACAUAUUUAUAUGAGGCAGCAGUCGAAGGUAGAAUCGAUGAUUGGGGUG